AUGAUGGAUCCACGGUGGCGCCCGACGGUGAACGAGCGGGAGUUCAUCGAGCAAGCCCUCCAGUCGGACCUCCGCGUCGACGGCCGCCGCCCCUUCGAUUUCCGCAAGCUCAAAAUCGCAUUCGGAAGGGAGGAUGGCUCGGCGGAGGUGGAGCUCGGCGAAACGCGUGUGAUGGGUUAUGUGACUGCGCAAUUGGUCCAGCCGUACAAGGACAGGCCUAACGAGGGCACGCUGGCCAUAUUCACCGAGUUCUCGCCCAUGGCUGAUCCUGCCUUUGAGCCGGGGCGACCUGGGGAAGCAGCGAUUGAGUUGGGCCGUGUCAUUGAUCGUGGCCUAAGGGAGAGCAGAGCCGUGGAUAUGGAAUCCCUGUGUGUUGUUGCAGGGAAGCAUGUCUGGUCGGUGCGUGUUGACCUUCACGUUUUGGACAAUGAGGGGAAUCUCAUUGAUGCAGCUAACAUCGCUGCAUUGGCAGCUUUGUCUACAUUCCGGAGGCCUGAAUGCACGGUUGGUGGGGAUGAUGGUCAGCAAGUUACAGUACAUGACUCUGAGGUCAGGGACCCACUUCCCCUAACAAUUCAUCAUCUCCCUAUAGCUGUAACCUUUGCAUAUUUUGGUGACGGUAAUAUCAUGGUUAUCGAUCCAACAUACAAGGAAGAAGCUGUUAUGGGAGGAAGGAUGACAGCUACGAUUAACUCGAAUGGUGAUGUCUGUGCCAUUCAGAAAGCUGGUGGAGAGGGUGUCAUGUCUAGUGUUAUCAUGCAGUGUUUAAGGAUUGCUUCAGUUAAAGCUGCUGAUAUAACAAGCAAAAUAAAGAGAGAGGUCGAUGAUUACACUACUGAAAAGGCAUUGCAGAAAGUAAAGCGUACUCCAGCAUUAGUGGCUAAAAAAGUUAACGUUCCUGAUGUAACUAUGAAGGAGAGCACUCACAGUGCAUUGGAAAACCAAGCCUCGAAGGCACCCAAUGAUGGUCAGCAGAUAAGCAAAGGUGAUGAUGAUCAUCAAAAUAUAAAAAGGAUUUCUCCCUUGACUGUGGACCGAACUGUUAAACACAAACAAACAUCCACAUUCGUUGGUGGCCCAUCAAAUUGGGAUCCAUACUCCAAAGGAGUUUCAUUAAGCUCCCUCAGAAUCUCUCAGUUGCCUGAUCCACCAGCUAUACCAAACGACGACAAGCAUGAGGAUACCAAACCAAUGUUGACUGAAUCCAAUCCAGAGGUGAAAAGCGUGUCAAAUUCUGGAACGGCUGGAGAGUCAGAUGAGUUCAAGGAAAGCAGAUCACCUAAGAGUCUAAUAGAUGCUAUCAAGCCAAAACACAGAAGGAAGAAGAAACAACAUGGCAAUAGUUAG
rnacentral:rRNA from 1 species